rnacentral:lncRNA from 1 species
AUGAGUCUCAAUGUUCUCCACACAACAGCUUACAAUAGUGUUUCAAAUGCUGUCUGUAUGCAUAGGGAUCUGAAGUCGAGCAGUAUUCUAUUUGUGAUUAUUACCUCUUACUAUAGCAAAGGAGUACCUUUUACAAAGGUGUCACCAUGAGCUCCCGACCUCCUGACCUCUCCGUGGCUGAGCUGUAUUAGGACUUUGUCAGAACUACAUCUU